UACGAAGGGGGCUAGCGUUGCUCGGAAUCACUGGGCGUAAAGCGCACGUAGGCGGCUUUUUAAGUCAGAGGUGAAAUCCUGGAGCUCAACUCCAGAACUGCCUUUGAUACUGAGGAUCUUGAGUAUGGGAGAGGUGAGUGGAACUGCGAGUGUAGAGGUGAAAUUCGUAGAUAUUCGCAAGAACACCAGUGGCGAAGGCGGCUCACUGGCCCAUUACUGACGCUGAGGCACGAAAGCGUGGGGAGCAAACAGG
rnacentral:rRNA from 1 species